rnacentral:rRNA from 1 species
AUUGAACGCUGGCGGCAUGCUUUACACAUGCAAGUCGAACGGUAACAGGGUGCUUGCACCGCUGACGAGUGGCGAACGGGUGAGUAAUACAUCGGAAUGUACCCAGUAAUGGGGGAUAACGCUUCGAAAGGAGUGCUAAUACCGCAUACGCCCUGAGGGGGAAAGUGGGGGACCGCAAGGCCUCACGUUAUUGGAGCAGCCGAUGGCUGAUUAGCUAGUUGGUGAGGUAAAGGCACACCAAGGCGACGAUCAGUAGCGGGUCUUAGAGGACGAUCCGCCACACUGGAACGGAAACACGGUCCAGACUCCUACGGGAGGCAGCAGUGGGGAAUCUUGGACAAUGGGCGAAAGCCUGAUCCAGCAAUGCCGCGUGCGUGAAGAAGGCCUUCGGGUUGUAAAGCGCUUUUGUCUGGGAGCAAAUCCUGGCCUCUAAUACAGGUCGGGGAUGAGAAUACCAGAAGAAUAAGGACCGGCUAACUACGUGCCAGCCGCCGCCGUAAAAC